rnacentral:rRNA from 1 species
CUACGGGUGGCUGCAGUGGGGAAUAUUGGGCAAUGGGCGAAAGCCUGACCCAGCAACGCCGCGUGAAGGAAGAAGGUUUUCGGAUCGUAAACUUCUAUCCCAGGUGAAGAUAAUGACGGUAGCCUGGAAGGAAGCCCCGGCUAACUACGUGCCAGCAGCCGCGGUAAUACGUAGGGGGCAAGCGUUGUCCGGAAUGAUUGGGCGUAAAGGGCGCGUAGGCGGCCUUCUAAGUCCGAUGUGAAAGUCCUGCUUUUAAGGUGGGAAUUGCAUUGGAAACUGGAGGGCUUGAGUGCAGGAGAGGUAAGUGGAAUUCCCGGUGUAGCGGUGAAAUGCGUAGAGAUCGGGAGGAACACCAGUGGCGAAGGCGACUUACUGGACUGUAACUGACGCUGGGGCGCGAAAGUGUGGGGAGCAAACAGGAUUAGAUACCCGAGUAGUC